UUUAAAUUUCUAAUCUAAAGGUGA
rnacentral:siRNA from 1 species